AUUGAACGCUGGCGGCAUGCCUUACACAUGCAAGUCGAACGGCAGCGCGGGAGCAAUCCUGGCGGCGAGUGGCGAACGGGUGAGUAAUAUAUCGGAACGUGCCCUAGAGUGGGGGAUAACUAGUCGAAAGACUAGCUAAUACCGCAUACGAUCUACGGAUGAAAGUGGGGGAUCGCAAGACCUCAUGCUCCUGGAGCGGCCGAUAUCUGAUUAGCUAGUUGGUAGGGUAAAAGCCUACCAAGGCGACGAUCAGUAGCUGGUCUGAGAGGACGACCAGCCACACUGGGACUGGGACACGGCCGAGACUCCUACGGGAGGCAGCAGUGGGGAAUUGUGGACAAUGGGGGCAACCCUGAUCCAGCAAUGCCGCGUGUGUGAAGAAGGCCUUCGGGUUGUAAAGCACUUUUGUUCGGAACGAAACGGCUUGGGCUAAUACCUCGAGCUAAUGACGGUACCGGAAGAAUAAGCACCGGCUAACUACGUGCCAGCCGCCGCCGUAAAAC
rnacentral:rRNA from 1 species